CUGCCACAGCAUCAGUCACACGCUCCAGCCCCUACUGCCCCAUGCCCGCCUCGAGUGAGCGGCCACCAGAGACCCAGGGAACAUGGCUCCCACUGCCCUGCUGGCCACGGCUAGACCUGGGCUUCUCAGCCUUAUCCUGGGGAUGUUCUGGGGCAGACAGUUGUCUGUCAUGGGCCCGUCCUGUGCACUGCAAGACACGGACCUGUGUCCCUCCCCUCUGCCUACUGAUGCCAGCAGCACCUACCUCCAGUUCUAGCAGCCACAAAGGUAUCUACACAUGUCCACAUGUCCCCUAGGGUCUGGCUGGACUAAAGGCAAAACUAAAGCCCAGAAGACAGACCAGUGCACCGGAUGCCCGUACCGCGUGAUGGCCAGGAAGGCCCGGCUGUGCAGCUCCUGCUUGAUGGCGCUUUGCAGACGGUAGGCGUGCCCAUGGCAUGAGGCAUCCCCAUAGCUGGCCAGCAGGGUCACCAGCAGAAAAAGCAUGUACACCAGGAGGCUCUGGUGGACGGGGGGGCCCUGUGGUCAGCCUGGCCCCAGCCCACAGUGACAGCAGGGCUUUGGCAACGGCUGGAGCCAUGGCUGCGGCAGGUGUGGCUGCAGGAAGGAGCCAGUGACCACCGAGGCUGUGCCACUGCAUCGGGCCACCAUGCUGAUAUGCCCGGUCCCAGAGCUGCUAGAGAAGAGGUACAGAGGCAGCGAAGACACGUUGAGGGGGAGGACGAGACCAACUGCGAGACGCCGAGUCCCGGGCUCUCAGGACGCUCUCCCGUACCUGCGCCCUCGUCAGCCCAUCACCGAAAGAACGGCCUGACCCAGGGUCACACUGCACUGAAUGCUUCCUGUUUUGCUGUCUCUCGGAGGAUAAAAGACACUCUUGGCUGGGCGCAGUGUCUCAAGCCU
rnacentral:lncRNA from 1 species